rnacentral:tRNA from 1 species
GCGGAUAUGGCGGAAUUGGCAGACGCGCUAGAUUCAGGUUCUAGUGAAUGCAAGUUCAUGCAGGUUCAAGUCCUGUUAUCCGCACCA